UUAAAAAGCUCGUAGUUGAACCUUGGGCCUGGCUGGCCGGUCCGCCUCACCGCGUGUACUGGUCCGGCCGGGCCUUUCCCUCUGUGGAACCCCAUGCCCUUCACUGGGUGUGGCGGGGAAACAGGACUUUUACUUUGAAAAAAUUAGAGUGCUCCAGGCAGGCCUAUGCUCGAAUACAUUAGCAUGGAAUAAUAGAAUAGGACGUGUGGUUCUAUUUUGUUGGUUUCUAGGACCGCCGUAAUGAUUAAUAGGGACAGUCGGGGG
rnacentral:rRNA from 1 species